UAUUCGGGGUUUCAGCAGACGGCAGACAAGUGCUUCAUUUGUGGCCACCUCAUCAUGGAAAUGAUCUUGCAGGCUCUUGGGAAGUCAUACCAUCCUGGCUGUUUCCGCUGUGUGGUGUGCAAUGAAUGUCUGGACGGCAUACCCUUCACUGUAGAUAUGGAGAACAACAUUUACUGUGUCAAAGACUAUCACACGGUUUUUGCACCCAAGUGUGCUUCCUGUCACCAGCCUAUUUUGCCAGUCCAGGUAUGGUUUUCUUUGUCAUUUGAUUAAUACUUUGGCCUCAGCACAGCCAUGAUGGGCUGGCUACACACGCAACUUUGUGCCUGUGCAGCUGAGUUCUCACCAUGCUCCAGUCCUAGUAAUUAAACUGCUUUGACUUUUGAUUUCUGUCUGCUUGCUUCUCCCUUCCUCUUUUCUCUCUCUUCCCCCCUCUCUCUUCUCUAUCAGUCUGUCUGC